rnacentral:rRNA from 1 species
GGUGCUAUACAUGCAAGUCGAGCGGACAGAAGGGAGCUUGCUCCCGGAUGUUAGCGGCGGACGGGUGAGUAACACGUGGGUAACCUGCCUGUAAGACUGGGAUAACUCCGGGAAACCGGAGCUAAUACCGGAUAGUUCCUUGAACCGCAUGGUUCAAGGAUGAAAGACGGUUUCGGCUGUCACUUACAGAUGGACCCGCGGCGCAUUAGCUAGUUGGUGGGGUAAUGGCUCACCAAGGCGACGAUGCGUAGCCGACCUGAGAGGGUGAUCGGCCACACUGGGACUGAGACACGGCCCAGACUCCUACGGGAGGCAGCAGUAGGGAAUCUUCCGCAAUGGACGAAAGUCUGACGGAGCAACGCCGCGUGAGUGAUGAAGGUUUUCGGAUCGUAAAGCUCUGUUGUUAGGGAAGAACAAGUGCGAGAGUAACUGCUCGCACCUUGACGGUACCUAACCAGAAAGCCACGGCUAACUACGUGCCAGCAGCCGCGGUAAUACGUAGGUGGCAAGCGUUGUCCGGAAUUAUUGGGCGUAAAGGGCUCGCAGGCGGUUUCUUAAGUCUGAUGUGAAAGCCCCCGGCUCAACCGGGGAGGGUCAUUGGAAACUGGGAAACUUGAGUGCAGAAGAGGAGAGUGGAAUUCCACGUGUAGCGGUGAAAUGCGUAGAGAUGUGGAGGAACACCAGUGGCGAAGGCGACUCUCUGGUCUGUAACUGACGCUGAGGAGCGAAAGCGUGGGGAGCGAACAGGAUUAGAUACCCUGGUAGUCCACGCCGUAAACGAUGAGUGCUAAGUGUUAGGGGGUUUCCGCCCCUUAGUGCUGCAGCUAACGCAUUAAGCACUCCGCCUGGGGAGUACGGUCGCAAGACUGAAACUCAAAGGAAUUGACGGGGGCCCGCACAAGCGGUGGAGCAUGUGGUUUAAUUCGAAGCAACGCGAAGAACCUUACCAGGUCUUGACAUCCUCUGACAACCCUAGAGAUAGGGCUUUCCCUUCGGGGACAGAGUGACAGGUGGUGCAUGGUUGUCGUCAGCUCGUGUCGUGAGAUGUUGGGUUAAGUCCCGCAACGAGCGCAACCCUUGAUCUUAGUUGCCAGCAUUCAG